GACAGAGGAUGCAAGCGUUAUCCGGAAUCAUUGGGCGUAAAGCGCGUGUAGGCGGCUCGAUAAGUCUGCUGUGAAAGUCCAGGGCUCAACCCUGGAAUGCCGGUGGAAACUGUCGAGCUUGAGUCCGGAAGAGGCGAGUGGAAUUCCUGGUGUAGCGGUGAAAUGCGCAGAUAUCAGGAGGAACACCAAUGGCGAAGGCAGCUCGCUGGGACGGUACUGACGCUGAGACGCGAAAGCGUGGGGAGCAAACAGG
rnacentral:rRNA from 1 species